rnacentral:rRNA from 1 species
CGUGAGAUGUUGGGUUAAGUCCCGCAACGAGCGCAACCCCUAUUGUUAGUUGCUACGCAAGAGCACUCUAGCGAGACUGCCGUUGACAAAACGGAGGAAGGUGGGGACGACGUCAAAUCAUCAUGCCCCUUAUAUCCUGGGCUACACACGUAAUACAAUGGCGGUCAACAGAGGGAAGCAAAGCCGCGAGGCAGAGCAAACCCCCAAAAGCCGUCCCAGUUCGGAUUGUAGGCUGCAACUCGCCUGCAUGAAGUCGAAGA